GCUGUAGUGGUGUAAUGGUAACACACCUGCCUACUGAGCAAGGGGACCUGGGUUCAAAUCCCAGCUGUGGGACA